CGCACAAGUAUAAGAGUAUAACAAGGAUACAACCACAAUAAACGAACAUACAACAUCUAACCAUUUAUACAUUCAUACACCAUUCACCACAGAUUUACUUUCAGAGUUUGAACAUAAAUCCACAACUAUCAGUUGAAAUGUUUCUCCCCGGAAACUGGUUUUGAAAUACCAAGUUAUGAAAAACCACGAAAAAACCUUUUCAAAACUGUUUUCUAUACGAAAACCUUUUUCUUUUUAAAACACGCUACCACGAGGGGUAGAAAAUCAUUUGCAGUUUAUAAAACCAUAAAUCCUUUAUUACGAAAUCCCGAUUAUUCAAUGUAAUAACAAAACUGAACCAUAUAAAUGUCUAAGUCAUAUCAACAGAAAUAACGAAGGUAGCGACUAAAGUAAACAAAUCGAACAAACCGGGUCAGAAGCUCUAACGACCGCUACGAACGUGUCUCACCUCUCGUCUCAACCCUCACCGCCCG
rnacentral:lncRNA from 1 species